GGAUGAUGCCAGGCAAAUCCGGCAUCAGAGCUGAAACCUGAAAGUACGGGGUCCCCUUCGGGGGAACCUGAGAGCGAGGGUAACCAUACUCCCGAGAAAAUGGGCUAAACUCAUGUUGGCGGUACCCGUACCGCAAACCGACACAGGUAGUUGGGUAGAACAUACUAAGGCGUUGAGAGAUUCAUGGCUAAGGAACUAGGCAAACUGACCCCGUAACUUCGGGAUAAGGGGUCCUCACCUCCGGGUGAGGCGCAGAGAAUAGGUCCAGGCAACUGUUUAACAAAAACACAGGGCUGUGCGAACUCGAAAGAUGAAGUAUACAGCCUGACACCUGCCCGGUGCCGGAAGGUUAAGAGGAGAUGUCACCGCAAGGGAAGCAUUGAAUUGAAGCCCCGGUAAACGGCGGCCGUAACGAUAACGGUCCUAAGGUAGCGAAAUUCCUUGUCGGGUAAGUUCCGACCUGCACGAAUGGUGUAAUGAUCCGGACGCUGUCUCGGCCAUGAGCUCAGUGAAAUUGUAGUAUCGGUGAAGAUGCCGAUUACCCGCGAUGGGACGAAAAGACCCCGUGAACCUUUACUACAGCUUAGCAUUGACCUUGGUCAUCCGAUGUGUAGGAUAGGCCGGAGGCUUCGAAGCGGCGUCGCCAGGCGUUGUGGAGCCAUCCUUGAAAUACGGCCCUUUGGCUGUCUGAGGUCUAACGUGCGAUGUGCGGACACUGCUUGGUGGGUAGUUUGACUGGGGUGGUCGCCUCCAAAAGCGUAACGGAGGCUUCCAAAGGUGCCCUCGGGCCGUUUGGUAAGCGGCCUUCAAGAGUGCAAUGGCAAAAGGGCGCUUGACUGGGAGGGAGACAUCCCGAGCAGGCAGGAAACUGGGGCAUAGUGAUCCGGCGGAUGUGUAUGGAAACUCCGUCGCUCAAAGGAUAAAAGGUACUCCGGGGAUAACAGGCUGAUCCCCCCCAAGAGCUCAUAUCGACGGGGUGGUUUGGCACCUCGAUGUCGGCUCGUCACAUCCUGGGGCUGGAGAAGGUCCCAAGGGUUGGGCUGUUCGCCCAUUAAAGUGGCACGCGAGCUGGGUUCAGAACGUCGUGAGACAGUUCGGUCUCUAUCUAUCGUGGGCGCAGGAGUUUUGAGUGGUGCUGUCACUAGUACGAGAGGACCGUGACGGACAGACCUCCGGUGUACCGGUUGUGCCGCCAGGCGCACCGCCGGGUAUCCGCGUCUGGAUCGGAUAAGCGCUGAAAGCAUCUAAGUGCGAAGCUUUCCACGAGAUUAGAACUCCAUUGAGGGUCGUCGCAGACGACGACGUUAUAGGGCGCAGGUGUAAAGACGGCGACGUCAAAGCCGAGCGCUACUAAUUGCCUU
rnacentral:rRNA from 1 species